GAUGAACGCUGGCGGCGUGCCUAACACAUGCAAGUCGAACGGAGAUCAUUCGCUGCGGAGCCUUCGGGCGAAGCUUGAAUGAUCUUAGUGGCGGACGGGUGAGUAACGCGUGGGCAACCUGCCUUGCACAGGGGGAUAGCAGUUGGAAACGACUGGUAAUACCGCAUAGCUUAGAGAGACCGCAUGAUCUUUUUAAGAAAACAUUAGUGGUGCAAGAUGGGCCCGCGUCCGAUUAGAUAGUUGGUGGGGUAACGGCCUACCAAGUCGACGAUCGGUAGCCGACCUAAGAGGGCGGACGGCCACAUUGGGACUGAGACACGGCCCAGACUCCUACGGGAGGCAGCAGUGGGGAAUAUUGCACAAUGGAGGGAACUCUGAUGCAGCGACGCCGCGUGAGUGAAGAAGUAUUUCGGUAUGUAAAGCUCUAUCAGUAGGGAAGAUAAUGACGGUACCUACAUAAGAAGCCCCGGCUAAAUACGUGCCAGCAGCCGCGGUAAUACGUAUGGGGCAAGCGUUAUCCGGAUUUACUGGGUGUAAAGGGAGCGUAGGCGGCAGUACAAGUCGGGAGUGAAAACUCGGGGCUCAACCCCGAGACUGCUCUCGAAACUGUACAGCUAGAGUGCAGGAAGGGCAGGCGGAAUUCCUGGUGUAGCGGUGAAAUGCGUAGAUAUCAGGAGGAACACCGGUGGCGAAGGCGGCCUGCUGGACUGUAACUGACGCUGAGGCUCGAAAGCGUGGGGAGCGAACAGG
rnacentral:rRNA from 2 species